GAUGAAGAACGUAGCGAAAUGCGAUAAGUAGUGUGAAUUGCAGAAUUCUGGAAUCAUCGAAUCUUUGAACGCACAUUGCGCCUUCUGGUAUUCCGGAAGGCAUGCCUGUUCGAGAGUCAUUAACAACCGUUUCGAUCCCUUUCUUUCAGAAAUUACAAAGAGGAAAAGGGUUUGGUUAUGGUGGAGGAGGGAAAGGGAGCGUUUAGCCUGUAAAAAAAGAGGCUGUGUUCCGCCUCCCCCCCAAAAUUGUACAGGCGGUCGUGUGCGCCCACGCAUCGAGGUGUUGUAAAAGCUGCCACGGCACUUUUCACCUGUGCAGUGCGAGAUUGGCCAGCCGGUUUAAAAACCCCUCCAAACAAUCAAAGGUUGACCUCGGAUCAGGUAGGGAUACCCGCUGAACUUAAGCAUAUCAAUAAGCGGAGGA
rnacentral:misc_RNA from 1 species